CUCUUCUCCCUCUCCUCUGCCUUUAUUAUUGAGUUUGUCCGUGGCUGUGCAUGUGCAUGAGUGCGUUGCUGGUGCUGCUCGGUAAUGGAGGUGUGGUGUGGAGAUUCUCUUUUCUUCUUAUCUGCUAGUUUCAGCUUGUCUCUACUAAACAAAGGACUGUUCCGGAUGAAGUGGCUGCUCUCAGCAAGAUGAUAGACUACUGGAACUUAAGAAGCAAAGUGAGUGAGUCUUAGCAUUGAACCUUGUACACCGAAUGCAUCAUGGGGUUCCCAUAUUGCGAAUCCCUCGUGUGGAUUGUGACUGUGCUGGCAACUCCUGCCACAUCAAUCGCCUGAAUCUGGGUCAGAAUGUAUUGAGUGAACCCACGGCUGAAAUUGCAUAAACAACCUGACAGGUAGAGUGCCUCUAGAGAUUGGUAAUUUGACCAAAUUGAUUUCCCUGUAAACGAAUGUGAGCAUUUGUCAGGUGCUCUUUCUGUUUUAUUUUUUAAUAAAAUAAGCUUUCUUAUAUCCAUCUGUUAAUCUCCAAGCCUCUAUCCUGUUACGGAAGUUUUAGCCCAAACAACUUCUUUGGACCGUUUAGCAUUAGAAAAAUCUGUCGACAACUCAUGGGUUUUUCCAGUACAAAAGAGCUAUUGUUUUAGGAAGACAGCAGCAUAUUUUCCUGUGCUUGCAGCCUUUUCCAUUGUUUUGAUCAAUAUGAUCAAAUGGUUAAUUGCAUCUU